rnacentral:lncRNA from 1 species
CAACAAACUGGGGUGAGCCAGUUUCAAAUUACAAUUUAGCUACAAAAACAUUCACAUUUUAUACUCUAGGAGAGUGUAACAUAGAUGCUAUUUACAAACUUGCUAUGACUGCUACAUCAAGCCAUUUAAAAAGUCUUUAGUAGUUUCAUAUAAACACCCAUUAUGAAAACCAAUGGAAAACCCAGGACCGUUUACCCCAGACAUCUACCGUUGCUAAGGCAGUUACUAGAGCCGCAGCACUUCACAGCAAAACCAACAGAAAUCAGAAUGGUCCACACUUCCUUCUGGGAAGAGGAACAAUGUCCAUAAAAGAUUAAAAAAAUAAUAAAGAAGCAUGACUAUUUCUUCCAGCGUGGGUGACCCACAAGCUCACAUGGUCCUAAGUGCUUAGUAACUUGUAUUUUCUAAUCAAAUGAAGAACUGCUUUGAGUGCGCAAAGCAAUCCAUGGUGAAAAGAUUUCCCUGAACUCCUCAGUGGAAAGAAGAGGUGUCGAGAUUUUCAGAACUUGAAGGUAUGAAUUCAUUGCUGAAGAUAACACACACCUCUGGGACGCAGGACUUGAGGGAAGUCACCUGGAACUGACUGAAGGUCCCUCUGCAUGGAAGAGCUUCCAGAGAUCUGGAUGACAUCUUCUUUAGGGAAAAGGGAAAGCUAGUAUCUGCAGAGACAUUUGGACCUAUGGUGGGACUUCCUUGGAAAACGUGCAAGAUGUACAAAGGGUAUAACACUAAAUGUCUUAAGAAAGUUCUUAUUAAGCAAGUUGAUGAUCAUCCAAGAGAACUGCAUUCUCGUUUACUUUGUAUAAUGAAGAUGAUGCUGCAGAGUGUAUAAAUGCCUCCAUUCUGGCAAUGCUUUCCUAAGGAAACCUCUUUGGAUACAGCAUUAGUAAGCACCUGUAAUAGCACUGCAGCUAAAGCGAAAUGGGCAGAGACAGGACGAUCCGAGAUGCUCACAGGACUAGACAGCCCAGCAUAUGCAUCAGUGAACAGGAGGGUCUGUCUCCAACAAGGUUUGAAAGAAGAAUGAAGAUAGACUGUUGGAAGAAUGAACACUGUAACAUUUUGCAUUUUUUCAGAACGUGUACAAGAGGGUUUGAGUGUGGGAGUAUUGGCAGCAUUGAUGAAGGCUUUCUGAAAAUCAUUACCCAGAAUAAGAUGUUCCCAUUUGUACAUAAGACAGGCAUUCAACAGUACAGUAAUACUCUAAUAUGUGUGGUUCAUG